UACAGAGGGUGCAAGCGUUGUUCGGAAUUAUUGGGCGUAAAGGGCGUGUAGGCGGUUUGUUAAGUCUUCUGUGAAAUCUACGGGCUUAGCCUGUAAAGUGCAGAGGAAACUAGCAGGCUUGAGUGUCGGAGAGGAGAGGGGAAUACCCGGUGUAGAGGUGAAAUUCGUAGAGAUCGGGUGGAACACCAGUGGCGAAGGCGCCUCUCUGGCUGACAACUGACGCUGAGACUCGAAAGCAUGGGGAGCAAACAGG
rnacentral:rRNA from 1 species